GUGAUCUUCUGACCGGACCUGCUCUCCCUCUGAGCUCCUGUAACCUUUCCCUCCUCUUAUCUUUUCAGAUCAAGAAGUGAUAACUGGGACUGCUACCUGGAGCUAUCAGAUAAUGAGGAUGGACUUUCAUUGAUCGCAAAUGAUUUUCUGGCACAACUCUUGCUGGAGAAGAGAACAAUUCAUUUUUGGAUGGCGUCAGGAUCUCUUCUGACCUCAACAACGCUAACUAAUAGUCAAGUGCUGGUCCCCUCGGAGUGUUCAGUUGGUGAAAGAUCAGUAUGUACCACCCACUCUUCAAAACAACUCCGG
rnacentral:lncRNA from 10 species